rnacentral:rRNA from 1 species
AGAGUUUGAUCCUGGCUCAGAACUAACGCUGGCGGCGUGCCUAAUACAUGCAAGUCGAACGAGAAAGUCCGCAAGGAUGAGUACAGUGGCGCACGGGUGAGUAACACGUGGAUAAUCUGCCUUAAGAUGGGGAAUAACUCCUCGAAAGAGGAGCUAAGACCGCAUAAGACCACAGACACUUCGGUGUCAGGGGUUAAAAGUGACCUCUAUUUAUAAGUUAUUGUCUUAAGAUGAGUCCGCGUCCCAUUAGCUAGUUGGCAGGGUAAUGGCCUACCAAGGCAACGAUGGGUAGCUGGUCUGAGAGGAUGAUCAGCCACACUGGAACUGAGACACGGUCCAGACUCCUACGGGAGGCAGCAGUAGGGAAUAUUGCACAAUGGGGGAAACCCUGAUGCAGCAACGCCGCGUGAGUGAUGAAGGCCUUCGGGUUGUAAAGCUCUGUUGUCAGGGGCGAAUGUCCUCAUGGCUAAUAUCCAUGGGGAGUGACAGUACCUGAUAAGAAAGCACCGGCUAACUUCGUGCCAGCAGCCGCGGUAAGACGGGGGGUGCAAGC